rnacentral:rRNA from 1 species
AUUGAACGCUGGCGGCAUGCUUUACACAUGCAAGUCGAACGGCAGCACGGGUGCUUGCGCCUGGUGGCGAGUGGCGAACGGGUGAGUAAUGCAUCGGAACGUGCCCAUGAGUGGGGGAUAGCCCGGCGAAAGCCGGAUUAAUACCGCAUACGCCCUUAGGGGGAAAGCGGGGGAUCUUCGGACCUCGCGCUAUUGGAGCGGCCGAUGUCGGAUUAGCUAGUAGGUGAGGUAAAGGCUCACCUAGGCGACGAUCCGUAGCUGGUCUGAGAGGAUGAUCAGCCACACUGGGACUGAGACACGGCCCAGACUCCUACGGGAGGCAGCAGUGGGGAAUUUUGGACAAUGGGCGCAAGGCCUGAUCCAGCCAUGCCGCGUGAGUGAAGAAGGCCUCGGUUGUAAAGG